rnacentral:rRNA from 1 species
GGGAUUGCCUCAGUAACGGCGAGUGAAGCGGCAACAGCUCAAAUUUGAAAUCUGGCUCUCGGGCCCGAGUUGUAAUUUGCAGAGGAUGUUUCUGGCGAGGUGCCUUCCGAGUUCCCUGGAACGGGACGCCAUAGAGGGUGAGAGCCCCGUCCGGUUGGUCGCUAAGCCUCUGUGAAACUCCUUCGACGAGUCGAGUAGUUUGGGAAUGCUGCUCUAAAUGGGAGGUAUACGUCUUCUAAAGCUAAAUACCGGCCAGAGACCGAUAGCGCACAAGUAGAGUGAUCGAAAGAUGAAAAGCACUUUGAAAAGAGGGUUAAAUAGUACGUGAAAUUGUUGAAAGGGAAGCGUUUAUGACCAGACUUGGGCCGGUUGAUCAUCCAUCGUUCUCGGUGGUGCACUCUGCCGGCUCAGGCCAGCAUCAGUUUGGCUUGGGGGAUAAAGGUUUCGGGAAUGUGGCUCCCUCGGGAGUGUUAUAGCCCGUUGCGUAAUACCCUGGGCUAGACUGAGGUUCGCGCUCCGCAAGGAUGCUGGCGUAAUGGUCAUCAGCGACCCGUCUU